AGCGAACGCUGGCGGCAGGCUUAACACAUGCAAGUCGAGCGGGCACUUUCGGGUGUCAGCGGCGGACGGGUGAGUAACGCGUGGGAACGUGCCCUCUGGUUCGGAAUAACUCAGGGAAACUUGAGCUAAUACCGGAUACGCCCUUUUGGGGAAAGGCUUGCUGCCGGAGGAUCGGCCCGCGUCUGAUUAGCUAGUUGGUGAGGUAACGGGUCACCAAGGCGACGAUCAGUAGCUGGUCUGAGAGGAUGAUCAGCCACACUGGGACUGAGACACGGCCCAGACUCCUACGGGAGGCAGCAGUGGGGAAUAUUGGACAAUGGGCGCAAGCCUGAUCCAGCCAUGCCGCGUGAGUGAUGAAGGCCUUAGGGUUGUAAAGCUCUUUUAUCCGGGACGAUAAUGACGGUACCGGAGGAAUAAGCCCCGGCUAACUUCGUG
rnacentral:rRNA from 1 species